rnacentral:rRNA from 1 species
UACAGAGGGUGCAAGCGUUAAUCGGAAUAAUUGGGCGUAAAGAGUGCGUAGGUGGUUUGCUAGGUGCGUUGUGAAAGACUCGGGCUUAACCUGGGGGUGUCAACGCAAACGGGCGAACUAGAGUACAGUAGAGGGUCGUGGAAUUUCCGGUGUAGCGGUGAAAUGCGUAGAGAUCGGAAGGAACACCAGUGGCGAAGGCGACGACCUGGGCUGAAACUGACACUGAGGCACGAAAGCGUGGGGAGCAAACAGG